UGCUGGAUAACAAGAAAUUCCGAAAACGAAUUGGCGUUGACUUAAAAGUCAUAAUCAACCGUAAAUGCAAACCAGUAAAUGAACAACCAAUAAGGUUUUCAAUGUUUCAGGUAACCUGCUUCAUGUACAGGAAUUAUUGACAUCGAAGUAGGCCUUGAACGUCUAGUCGCGGAUUUAUUUCUGGUUA